rnacentral:sRNA from 1 species
UCACUGAUGUCUCGUAGGUGCGAAUACU